rnacentral:rRNA from 1 species
AAAUUGAAGAGUUUGAUCAUGGCUCAGAUUGAACGCUGGCGGCAGGCCUAACACAUGCAAGUCGAACGGUAACAGGAAGCAGCUUGCUGCUUCGCUGACGAGUGGCGGACGGGUGAGUAAUGUCUGGGAAACUGCCUGAUGGAGGGGGAUAACUACUGGAAACGGUGGCUAAUACCGCAUAACGUCGCAAGACCAAAGAGGGGGAUCUUCGGGCCUCUUGCCAUCAGAUGUGCCCAGAUGGGAUUAGCUUGUUGGUGAGGUAACGGCUCACCAAGGCGACGAUCCCUAGCUGGUCUGAGAGGAUGACCAGCCACACUGGAACUGAGACACGGUCCAGACUCCUACGGGAGGCAGCAGUGGGGAAUAUUGCACAAUGGGCGCAAGCCUGAUGCAGCCAUGCCGCGUGUAUGAAGAAGGCCUUCGGGUUGUAAAGUACUUUCAGCGGGGAGGAAGGUGUUGCGGUUAAUAACCGCAGCAAUUGACGUUACCCGCAGAAGAAGCACCGGCUAACUCCGUGCCAGCAGCCGCGGUAAUACGGAGGGUGCAAGCGUUAAUCGGAAUUACUGGGCGUAAAGCGCACGCAGGCGGUCUGUCAAGUCGGAUGUGAAAUCCCC